GAACGCUGGCGGCGUGCUUAACACAUGCAAGUCGAACGGGAUCCAUCAAGCUUGCUUGGUGGUGAGAGUGGCGAACGGGUGAGUAAUGCGUGACCAACCUGCCCUGUACUCUGGAAUAGCUCCUGGAAACGGGUGGUAAUGCCGGAUGCUCCACAUGGGUGCAUGCCUGUGUGGGAAAGGGUUUACCGGUAUGGGAUGGGGUCGCGUCCUAUCAGCUUGACGGCGGGGUAAUGGCCCACCGUGGCUUUGACGGGUAGCCGGCCUGAGAGGGCGACCGGCCACAUUGGGACUGAGAUACGGCCCAGACUCCUACGGGAGGCAGCAGUGGGGAAUAUUGCACAAUGGGGGGAACCCUGAUGCAGCGACGCCGCGUGCGGGAUGACGGCCUUCGGGUUGUAAACCGCUUUUGAUUGGGAGCAAGCGUUAAGUGAGUGUACCUUUCGAAUAAGCGCCGGCUAACUACGUGCCAGCAGCCGCGGUAAUACGUAGGGCGCAAGCGUUGUCCGGAAUUAUUGGGCGUAAAGGGCUCGUAGGCGGCUCGUCGCGUCUGGUGUGAAAGUCCAUCGCUUAACGGUGGAUCUGCGCCGGGUACGGGCGGGCUGGAGUGCGGUAGGGGAGACUGGAAUUCCCGGUGUAACGGUGGAAUGUGUAGAUAUCGGGAGGAACACCAAUGGCGAAGGCAGGUCUCUGGGCCGUUACUGACGCUGAGGAGCGAAAGCGUGGGGAGCGAACAGGAUUAGAUACCCUGGUAGUCCACGCCGUAAACGGUGGACGCUGGAUGUGGGGCCCAUUCCACGGGUUCCGUGUCGGAGCUAACGCGUUAAGCGUCCCGCCUGGGGAGUACGGCCGCAAGGCUAAAACUCAAAGAAAUUGACGGGGGCCCGCACAAGCGGCGGAGCAUGCGGAUUAAUUCGAUGCAACGCGAAGAACCUUACCUGGGCUUGACAUGUUCCCGGCGACAUCAGAGAUGGUGUUUCCCUUCGGGGCGGGUUCACAGGUGGUGCAUGGUCGUCGUCAGCUCGUGUCGUGAGAUGUUGGGUUAAGUCCCGCAACGAGCGCAACCCUCGCCCCGUGUUGCCAGCACGUCAUGGUGGGAACUCACGGGGGACCGCCGGGGUUAACUCGGAGGAAGGUGGGGAUG
rnacentral:rRNA from 1 species